rnacentral:lncRNA from 1 species
ACGUUCUUCUCGACAUGCAUGACGUCUAUGGUGUGACGGCUCUGUAAGAACCUCCGGUAUGGCAUGUAACAUCCCAAAAUUUCAAACUUUUACAUGUGCAUUGCACCCAUGAGCAUCAUGCCACAAUUGCAUAUUUGAAUUCAAAUUUGAAUCUCAAAAGGCUUUAAAAGACUUUGUUUAGACCCAUUUAAGCUUUGGUUUGUCAAACCAAUAGGGUUUAUGUGUAAAAGGGGUUUGUUGCAUAUAUAAGCUAUCCCACAAUUUUUGGAUAAUUAUUUGGAGUUGAAAAAGUAUUUUAUUUAAAUAGACAUAUAGCCCUAAAGGCAUUUAUAGGGCAAAUGUAUUUUUAUAUAUUUUAUUUUGAGGGGAAACUACUCUCAAAAGUUGAAUCAUGGUAAAGCAUGAUUUUACAAAUUUCUGGAAUUUAUUUGGACCAAUUUGGAGCUCAAAAUCAAAAGAUAUCAAGGAAAUAAGAAAAACAGAAAAAGAAAAGGCUAAAGAAAAAAAAAUAGAACGGACCGACCCACUGGGCCGGCCCGCUAAGCCACGAACCGGCCGAACCGGUCGUCUGACCGCGCCCGAACCAGACCGGUCCGCGCGCGCGCGCUCGCUGCCGCCGACCCGGGGGACCCACGCGUCAGGGUCUUCGUCCCCAAUGGAAAGCCGCCGCAAUCACCGCGCCGCCUUCCUUCUUCGCCGCCGCGCCGUCUCCGCCGCGGAUUCCGACCUUCCCAAUCUUCGCCGCUCG